rnacentral:rRNA from 1 species
GACUGGGGCGGUCGCCUCCUAAAAGGUAACGGAGGCGCUCAAAGGUUCCCUCAGAAUGGUUGGAAAUCAUUCAUAGAGUGUAAAGGCAUAAGGGAGCUUGACUGCGAGACCUACAAGUCGAGCAGGGUCGAAAGACGGACUUAGUGAUCCGGUGGUUCCGCAUGGAAGGGCCAUCGCUCAACGGAUAAAAGCUACCCCGGGGAUAACAGGCUUAUCUCCCCCAAGAGUUCACAUCGACGGGGAGGUUUGGCACCUCGAUGUCGGCUCAUCGCAUCCUGGGGCUGUAGUCGGUCCCAAGGGUUGGGCUGUUCGCCCAUUAAAGCGGUACGCGAGCUGGGUUCAGAACGUCGUGAGACAGUUCGGUCCCUAUCCGUCGUGGGCGUAGGAAAUUUGAGAGGAGCUGUCCUUAGUACGAGAGGACCGGGAUGGACAUACCUCUGGUGUACCAGUUGUCGUGCCAACGGCAUAGCUGGGUAGCUAUGUGUGGACGGGAUAAGUGCUGAAAGCAUCUAAGCAUGAAGCCCCCCUCAAGAUGAGAUUUCCCAACUUCGGUUAUAAGAUCCCUCAAAGAUGAUGAGGUUAAUAGGUUCGAGGUGGAAGCAUGGUGACAUGUGGAGCUGACGAAUACUAA